rnacentral:rRNA from 1 species
CCUACGGGUGGCAGCAGUGGGGGAUAUUGCACAAUGGGGGAAACCCUGAUGCAGCGACGCCGCGUGAGUGAAGAAGUAUUUCGGUUUGUAAAGCUCUGUCCGCCGUGAAGAAAAUGAUGGUAGCUGAUUAAGAAGCCCCGGCUAACUACGUGCCAGCAGCCGCGGUAAUACGUAGGGGGCAAGCGUUAUCCGGAUUUACUGGGUGUAAAGGGAGCGUAGACGGGAGCACAAGUCUGGAGUGAAAUGCCUGGGCUUAACCCAGGAACUGCUUUGGAAACUGUGCAGCUAGAGUGCAGGAGAGGUAAGUGGAAUUCCUAGUGUAGCGGUGAAAUGCGUAGAGAUUAGGAGGAAAACCAGUGGCGAAGGCGGCUUACUGGACUGUAACUGACGUUGAGGCUCGAAAGCGUGGGGAGCAAACAGGAUUAGAUACCCUUGUAGUC